rnacentral:rRNA from 1 species
AAUGCCUAGGAAUCUGCCUGGUAGUGGGGGAUAACGUUCGGAAACGGACGCUAAUACCGCAUACGUCCUACGGGAGAAAGCAGGGGACCUUCGGGCCUUGCGCUAUCAGAUGAGCCUAGGUCGGAUUAGCUAGUUGGUGAGGUAAUGGCUCACCAAGGCGACGAUCCGUAACUGGUCUGAGAGGAUGAUCAGUCACACUGGAACUGAGACACGGUCCAGACUCCUACGGGAGGCAGCAGUGGGGAAUAUUGGACAAUGGGCGAAAGCCUGAUCCAGCCAUGCCGCGUGUGUGAAGAAGGUCUUCGGAUUGUAAAGCACUUUAAGUUGGGAGGAAGGGUUGUAGAUUAAUACUCUGCAAUUUUGACGUUACCGACAGAAUAAGCACCGGCUAACUCUGUGCCAGCAGCCGCGGUAAUACAGAGGGUGCAAGCGUUAAUCGGAAUUACUGGGCGUAAAGCGCGCGUAGGUGGUUUGUUAAGUUGGAUGUGAAAUCCCCGGGCUCAACCUGGGAACCGCAUUCAAAACUGACUGACUAGAGUAUGGUAGAGGGUGGUGGAAUUUCCUGUGUAGCGGUGAAAUGCGUAGAUAUAGGAAGG